UUCUUCAGGGCAGGGUGAAAUUCCCUACUGGCGGUGAUGUAGUCCGCGACCCAUAUCACAGCGAUAUGGCUGAACCGGUGAGAACCCGGUACCAACAGUAAAGUCUGGAUGAAAGAAGAG
rnacentral:ncRNA from 1 species